rnacentral:tRNA from 1 species
GCCGGGGUAGCUUAGUUAGGUAGAGCGUCUGGCUGUUAACCAGAUGGUCGCAAGUUCGAGUCUUGUCCCCGGCGCCA